GGAUGAGCCCGCGGCCGGUCAGCUUGUUGGUGGGGUAAUGGCCUACCAAGGCGACGACGGGUAGCCGGCCUGAGAGGGCGACCGGCCACACUGGGACUGAGACACGGCCGUGACUCCUACGGGAGGCAGCAGUGGGGAAUAUUGCACAAUGGGCGAAAGCCUGAUGCAGCGACGCCGCGUGAGGGAUGACGGCCUUCGGGUUGUAAACCUCUUUCAAUAGGAAGAAGCGCAAGUGACGGUACCUGCAA
rnacentral:rRNA from 1 species